rnacentral:rRNA from 1 species
UACGUAGGGGGCAAGCGUUGUCCGGAUUCAUUGGGCGUAAAGAGCGUGUAGGCGGCCAGGUAGGUCGGUUGUGAAACUGGAGGCUCAACCUUCAGAGGUCGACCGAAACCAUCUGGCUAGAGUCCGGGAGAGGAGAGUGGAAUUCCUGGUGUGAGCGGUGAAAUGCGCAGAUAUCAGGAAGAACACCCGUGGCGAAAGCGGCUCUCUGGAACGGUACUGACGCUGAGACGCGAAAGCGUGGGGAGCGAACAGG